rnacentral:rRNA from 1 species
AGUGAACGCUGGCGGCAGGCCUAAUACAUGCAAGUCGAACGGCAACACAGUGGAGCUUGCUCCAUGGGUGGCGAGUGGCGGACGGGUGAGGAAUACAUGGGAAUCUGCCCAGUCGUGGGGGAUAACGUAGGGAAACUUACGCUAAUACCGCAUGCGCCCUUCGGGGGAAAGCCGGGGACCUUCGGGCCUGGCGCGAUUGGAUGAGCCCAUGUUCGAUUAGCUAGUUGGCGGGGUAAAGGCCCACCAAGGCGACGAUCGAUAGCUGGUCUGAGAGGAUGAUCAGCCACACUGGGACUGAGACACGGCCCAGACUCCUACGGGAGGUAGCAGUAGGGAAUAUUGGACAAUGGGCGCAAGCCUGAUCCAGCCAUGCCGCGUGAGUGAAGAAGGCCCUCGGGUUGUAAAGCUCUUUUGUCCGGGAAGAAAAGCAUCGGGCUAAUACCUCGGUGUUCUGACGGUACCGGAAGAAUAAGCACCGGCUAACUUCGUG